ACACUGAGCCCAAGAGUGCAACAGUGACAAAUAUUCUGACAAUAGUAGUGAUGACCACAAUAGUGUCUCUGUGUCUCUUAAUAUCACUGACCGUCUGUGUCAUUCUGUAUUUCAAAAAACGAAGAUGCAAAUCCAACAGCCAAACUCAGCUAAAUGUAUAUUACUCCUAUGUUGCAGAUGGGUUUGAUGUACCAUUGCAUUCUUUAACUGGACAAAACACAGCAACAAUGACCACCUUUGGUGCUGAACAAUCAGAAGCUCCUGCAUUUAAACCAGAUGACAUGUAUGAAAAGUUAACACUGUGAAACGAAUAUUGGCAUUUUUAAACUUUUGUGAUGUCAAAGUCUUUUUUAAAAAUCAGCAGUUAGUAAUUACAUGACAUCUCUCACAAAUUUUAAUAAAGGGGAACAUCUUUUAUACUCA
ensembl:lncRNA